rnacentral:rRNA from 1 species
CAUCCUCCAAGGCUAAAUACUCCUGACUGACCGAUAGUGAACCAGUACCGUGAGGGAAAGGCGAAAAGAACCCCGGCGAGGGGAGUGAAAAAGAACCUGAAACCGUGUACGUACAAGCAGUGGGAGCACCCUUCGGGGUGUGACUGCGUACCUUUUGUAUAAUGGGUCAGCGACUUAUAUUCUGUAGCAAGGUUAACCGUAUAGGGGAGCCGGAGGGAAACCGAGUCUUAACCGGGCGUUAAGUUGCAGGGUAUAGACCCGAAACCCGGUGAUCUAGCCAUGGGCAGGUUGAAGGUUGGGUAACACUAACUGGAGGACCGAACCGACUAAUGUUGAAAAAUUAGCGGAUGACCUGUGGCUGGGGGUGAAAGGCCAAUCAAACCGGGAGAUAGCUGGUUCUCCCCGAAAGCUAUUUAGGUAGCGCCUCGUGAAUUCAUCUCCGGGGGUAGAGCACUGUUUCGGCUAGGGGGCCAUCCCGGCUUACCAACCCGAUGCAAACUGCGAAUACCGGAGAAUGUUAUCACGGGAGACACACGGCGGGUGCUAACGUCCGUCGUGAAGAGGGAAACAACCCAGACCGCCAGCUAAGGUCCCAAAGUCAUGGUUAAGUGGGAAACGAUGUGGGAAGGCCCAGACAGCCAGGAUGUUGGCUUAGAAGCAGCCAUCAUUUAAAGAAAGCGUAAUAGCUCACUGGUCGAGUCGGCCUGCGCGGAAGAUGUAACGGGGCUAAACCAUGCACCGAAGCUGCGGCAGCGAACGUAUCACUUAAAGCGAUUCAGCGGGUUACGAUUGACGGAGCGAAGCGACGUCAAAGCGUAUACAAAGUCGAGUCGGUUUAAGGAUACGUUCGUUGGGUAGGGGAGCGUUCUGUAAGCCUGUGAAGGUGGCCUGUGAGGGUUGCUGGAGGUAUCAGAAGUGCGAAUGCUGACAUAAGUAACGAUAAAGCGGGUGAAAAGCCCGCUCGCCGGAAGACCAAGGGUUCCUGUCCAACGUUAAUCGGGGCAGG